ACGAACCGUCCGAACGUUACUCGGAAUCACUGGGCUUAAAGGGUGCGUAGGCCGCGCGGAGGGUGGGAUGUGAAAUCCCCCGGCUCAACCGGGGAAUAGCGUCCCAAACCGCCGUGCUCGAGGGAGACAGAGGUGAGCGGAACUGAUGGUGGAGCGGUGAAAUGCGUUGAUAUCAUCAGGAACACCAGUGGCGAAAGCGGCUCACUGGGUCUUUCCUAACGCUGAGGCACGAAAGCUAGGGGAGCGAACGGGA
rnacentral:rRNA from 1 species